UACGGAGGGCGCGAGCGUUAAUCGGAAUUACUGGGCGUAAAGCGCGCGUAGGCUGUUGUGUAAGUUGGGGGUGAAAUCCCACGGCUCAACCGUGGAACAGCCCUUGAUACUGCGCGACUUGAAUCCGGGAGAGGGUGGCGGAACUCCAGGUGUAGGAGUGAAAUGCGUAGAUAUUAGGAGGAACACCAGUGGCGAAGGCGGCUUACUGGACUGUAACUGACGUUGAGGCUCGAAAGCGUGGGGAGCAAACAGG
rnacentral:rRNA from 1 species